rnacentral:piRNA from 1 species
GAGUCCAGAGAGAUUCCUGUAGCGAGU